rnacentral:lncRNA from 1 species
UCAAGGCAGUCUUCCCGACUCCAGCCGGCUAAGGAAAAGCGAAAAUCGGUAGGUGAUGCCCAGGGUAUGAUUUAUCUGGUGAAAUCCAUGCAUCCCUCUCAGUUGUGUAUCAUCAUGGUGCUAAUCUCAGCCCUAGCACUCAGAUCACUCCUGCAUACAUGUCUACCCCUGGACGGCAGGUCUCAGAGGGGAGAGAGGGCCCCCAUGGCCAUGGGGAGGCAGGAGCUCCGGCACUGGGCCAUGGGACCCAGUGAGGUCAAACAUACAGAUGGAGAAGCCACUUUACACCAUCAGUCAUGAGGGUUGUGAGAGUUUUUGUUCCCAGUGAACUCGAGUCAGCGCUGGGAAAUUUCAGGUCUGGAGCAAUUGCAGUGAAUUAGCUGUCAAGUGGGCCCCUUGAAGGGGUCCUUACACAGAGCUGGGAUUUAUCUCACCCGAGCUGCUCUGCAUGGCUUUGCAUUCUGUCUAAUCUCAGAAGAAUGAUGAAAGGCUUUGGUAGCAGGUGGAUCUGGAUUGGAAUCCUGGCUCGGCCAUUGGCCAGCUGGGUGAACUCAGUCAUGCUGCUCAGGCUGCUUUUCUUCUUCUGUGAAGUGCAGCUAAGUGGGAACUGGACAGCACUCUGUGUGUGCAGCUCUUAGGGGCACCUGGACCACAGUGAGAGCUCAGUGAGAGGCAGGGGUGGAGCAGCGAUCUGUGCUUUUCCUGAUCAGUUACUUUGCUUCCUGAAGCCUCUUGUCCACCACUGGAGUGAAUUUUGAGGACCCUUUCUAGCAAGUGCAUGGCGUUCCCAUGUGGAUUCUGAGCCCUAGCUUGUUUCUAGUUUGUCCUAUUGCUUCCUCUUCGCUUUCUUCCUCCUGCACUCAUGGUUCACAGGAGCUCAGUGAAUUCUGUAUAUUUCAGGGGACAGGAGAUGGUUUGAUAACAUGUGAGGAUCCCAGCCUUCUCAUCCUGCCCACCAAAGUGGAUCUGGCUCUUACCCCACUGUCCCUGCUCCCAAGACAGACUGCAGGGUUCUGCCUUUGUCACUUUGGCUCCAGGAUUUGGCACAAAGACAAGGAGAAAAACAAGCUGUGGAGCUCUGCUGACUGGAAAGCAGGGGGGUUGGGAGGGACAAACCACACCGUUGUCCACUGACCUCCAGGCACUCUGAAGGCUGAUGAAAAGGGUAGCUUCGGAUGCUGGAAGCACCGAGAGGUACCUCUUUGAUCUGCCUGCUUUAAAAAUUCUAUCCUUACGGUAGCCUCACUUUAGGCCUUUUCAUUUCUACAGGAUUUCCUAAUCCCCUUUAAAUAAAGAUCAAAAAGGAGCCA